UUUCUGUCAUUUUCACUUUUUUGUGUCUUUUUUAGAUCCCUUUUGCUUGACUUGAGUGUAUAAGGAGAUGGAAAUUAAUGACCGUGAUGUAGUGUUUGUUAAAUGAUGGAGCUGAGCUUAAAUAACAAAUAUUUAACUGAAAAAUGUUUUGUCAUCGUUACUAAAAGGAUGAAAGGGUAUUAAAAUAAUGGAGACACUUCUUCAGGAGCAGUGUGGGUGAUCGUGCUCUUAAGUUGUAAGGUUGUGCUCAGGGCAGUUGAGAAAAUGUAUUUGCAUAGAGUUUCCUUGGAACCACCUAUCUUUAUUGACACUGGAAUUCCAUGGCUGUUGUCUGAACUUUGCCGGUACCGUUUUAUUGAGGAAAGACUGUUUAAUAUGCACAGCUGGAAGAAAAGAAGACUGCAGACAGCAAAUCUUUUAGAAAAGAUUAAGGAAUCAUACUACUUAAGGGGAUGUUGAUCGUGAAAAUCACAGAGGAACAAGUGUAAGCUUGGAAACAGCAUCUUCCUGUGAAUUAGUGCUAUAAUCUCCAGAGCCUGAGAAUUCGGUGAGGGAACGUUGAGCAACAAAACUAAAAUAGCCGUUGUUGCCAUGAAGACGCCCUUGCCGAGUGCCCCGGUUGCUUUGUGUCCUACCCAGGGGGGUGGGCACGGCCCCGGCGCUGGCUCUUUCGCAGCUUCGGUCUGUGGGGUAGAGGCUUCAUUCCGCAGGAGCGGAGCUCAGCUGUAGCAGCUGAGUAGGGUUACUGCUCCCCACCUGCACCACUCCUUACUUCAGUUCUGAUUGCUGUGUUGGAAAUAUUUGGUUAUUAUACCCCUGCCAGCAUGAUUAUUUUCAGCUGUAAAGACAUGCCUCAAUACAAGUUUUGCGUAUAUUUGAA